UUAAGCAUAUCAAUAAGCGGAGGAAAAGAAACCAACAGGGAUUGCCUCAGUAGCGGCGAGUGAAGCGGCAAAAGCUCAAAUUUGAAAUCUGGCGUCUUUGGCGUCCGAGUUGUAAUUUGAAGAAGGUAUCUUUGGGCCCGGCUCUUGUCUAUGUUCCUUGGAACAGGACGUCACAGAGGGUGAGAAUCCCGUGCGAUGAGAUGACCCGGGUCUGUGUAAAGUUCCUUCGACGAGUCGAGUUGUUUGGGAAUGCAGCUCUAAGUGGGUGGUAAAUUCCAUCUAAAGCUAAAUAUUGGCGAGAGACCGAUAGCGAACAAGUACAGUGAUGGAAAGAUGAAAAGAACUUUGAAAAGAGAGUGAAAAAGUACGUGAAAUUGUUGAAAGGGAAGGGCUUGAGAUCAGACUUGGUAUUUUGCAUGCUGCUCUCUCGGGGGCGGCCGCUGCGGUUUACCGGGCCAGCAUCGGUUUGGAGCGGCAGGAUAAUGGCGGAGGAAUGUGGCACGGCUUCUGCUGUGUGUUAUAGCCUCUGACGAUACUGCCAGCCUAGACCGAGGACUGCGGUUUUUACCUAGGAUGUUGGCAUAAUGAUCUUAAGUCGCCCGUCUUGAA
rnacentral:rRNA from 1 species